rnacentral:rRNA from 1 species
AGAGUUUGAUCCUGGCUCAGGACGAACGCUGGCGGCGUGCUUAAUACAUGCAAGUCGAACGGAGUUAAGGGUUUCGGCCUUUAACUUAGUGGCGAACGGGUGAGUAACGCGUGAAUAACCUGACUCAAAGAGGGGGAUAACAACGGGAAACUGUUGCUAAUACCGCAUGAGACCACAACACCGCAUGAUGAAGGGGUCAAAGAUUUAUCGCUUUGAGAGGGGUUCGCGUCCCAUUAGGUAGUUGGAGGGGUAACGGCCCACCAAGCCAACGAUGGGUAGCCGAGCUGAGAGGCUGAUCGGCCACACUGGAACUGAGACACGGUCCAGACUCCUACGGGAGGCAGCAGUGGGGAAUAUUGGGCAAUGGGCGCAAGCCUGACCCAGCAACGCCGCGUGAGGGAAGAAGGUUUUCGGAUUGUAAACCUCUGUCCUAUGUGACGAAGGAAGUGACGGUAGCAUAGGAGGAAGCCCCGGCUAACUACGUGCCAGCAGCCGCGGUAAUACGUAGGGGGCGAGCGUUGUCCGGAAUUACUGGGCGUAAAGGGAGCGUAGGCGGUCUGAUAAGUUGGAUGUGAAAUACCCGGGCUUAACUUGGGGGGUGCAUCCAAUACUGUUGGACUAGAGUACAGGAGAGGAAAGCGGAAUUCCUAGUGUAGCGGUGAAAUGCAUAGAUAUUAGGAGGAACAUCGGUGGCGAAGGCGGCUUUCUGGACUGCAACUGACGCUGAGGCUCGAAAGCGUGGGGAGCAAACAGGAUUAGAUACCCUGGUAGUCCACGCUGUAAACGAUGAAUACUAGGUGUCGGGGCACAUAAGUGCUUCGGUGCCGCAGCAAACGCAAUAAGUAUUCCACCUGGGGAGUACGUUCGCAAGAAUGAAACUCAAAGGAAUUGA